CCAGCCAGUGCUGAGGGUGAAGCGGGUUUAUUUUUUUCCCAGGCUGCUUUUAUACCACUCUAGGUACUGGCAGAGAACAGGGUCAGUUCUCAGAGCAAAGAUAAAGUCAUCAAACAAGGUAAUGAACAAAGAGAUCACACCAGGUAGUAAUCAAACUAAGCAAUAAACCAAGCCCCCAAGUCCCUGGGUCUGGGGACUUAUCAGGAUUACCAAGACAAAGUCACACACUCCUUGCUUGAGUUUCCGAGGAUCCUUGCACCAGCCCAAAUGCAAAUAAAUACUCUUAUCUGAGCCUACUUCCUCCUCUGAGCCCAGUGACAAAUACCCACCAAAUUUCUAGAAGCGGCACCAAAAGCUCUCCACAGUCCUUUACAGGGGAGACCAUCCUCUUCAACUGAGCACUCAGCUCCUGGAGCAAUGCAAGGAACCAUGAGGGAGAAAGGAACUCCUGCCUACCCAGCUGAUUCAACGAAUGACAAACAUCACAGCAGCAUCGCUCCGUGGUCAGGAAAACCUGGAUAAAGUCGUCUGAACAGAAAGUCUCUGGACAUGUUCCCUCCAUCAAACCCACACAUUUUUCUCCAUGAUGCUGGGCUGAUGUCUGCACCACGUUGGCCUGACACACGAGCUUCAAGAAGCUCAAAAUCACCUGAUGGACAUCUGGGAGCCCCAAAUUGCCAACCAGUUGGUCAGAAGUGUGAUGAUAGACAGACAGCAACAAACCAAAUGGAGGAUUCUGCCCAUGUUCACCUUGGAGAACCAAUGAUCUGUUGUGGCUAUUUCAGAAACACAGGGUGAAGGAAGGGCAGCUUUCCACGCCAGAAUGGGUGAUGAUCUCACCAUAGUGUAAUGGAAUUGCUCUCCUGACAAACCUUCACCUCUUGUACACUAUGGCACCCCCGAGAGCACUGGCAGCUAUAGGGUGGAAGAGAACAUCCCUCCAUGGCCUCUGCAUCAGCUCCUGCUU